CUGAAAAGAGCCCAAGAGCAAAGUCCCCGGAAGCGGGGUCGGCCCCCAAAGGAUGAGAAGGAUCUCACCAUCCCGGAGUCUAGUACCGUGAAGGGGAUGAUGGCCGGACCGAUGGCCGCGUUUAAAUGGCAGCCAACCGCAAGCGAGCCUGUUAAAGAUGCAGAUCCUCAUUUCCAUCAUUUCCUGCUAAGCCAAACAGAGAAGCCAGCUGUCUGUUACCAGGCAAUCACGAAGAAGUUGAAAAUAUGUGAAGAGGAAACUGGCUCCACCUCCAUCCAGGCAGCUGACAGCACAGCCGUGAAUGGCAGCAUCACACCCACAGACAAAAAGU
rnacentral:lncRNA from 1 species